GACGAACGCUGGCGGCGUGCUUAACACAUGCAAGUCGAACGGAAAGGCCCUGCUUUUGUGGGGUGCUCGAGUGGCGAACGGGUGAGUAACACGUGAGUAACCUGCCCUUGACUUUGUGAUAACUUCAGGAAACUGGGGCUAAUACCGGAUAGGAGCUCCUGCUGCAUGGGGGGGGUUGGAAAGUUUCGGCGGUUGGGGAUGGACUCGCGGCUUAUCAGCUUGUUGGUGGGGUAGUGGCUUACCAAGGCUUUGACGGGUAGCCGGCCUGAGAGGGUGACCGGCCACAUUGGGACUGAGAUACGACCCAGACUCCUACGGGAGGCAGCAGUGGGGAAUAUUGCACAAUGGGCGGAAGCCUGAUGCAGCAACGCCGCGUGCGGGAUGACGGCCUUCGGGGUGUAAACCGCUUUCGCCUGUGACGAAGCGUGAGUGACGGUAAUGGGUAAAGAAGCACCGGCUAACUACGUG
rnacentral:rRNA from 1 species